rnacentral:rRNA from 1 species
AUUGAACGCUGGCGGCAGGCUUAACACAUGCAAGUCGAGCGGAUGAAGGGAGCUUGCUCUUGGAGCCAGCGGCGGACGGGUGAGUAAUGCCUAGGAAUCUGCCUGGUAGUGGGGGAUAACGUCGGGAAACGGGGGCUAAUACCGCAUACGUCCUGAGGGAGAAAGUGGGGGACCGUCAGACCUCACGCUAUUAGAUCAGCCUAUGUCGGAUUAGCUAGUUGGUGGGGUAAAGGCCUACCAAGGCGACGAUCCGUAACUGGUCUGAGAGGAUGAUCAGUCACACUGGAACUGAGACACGGUCCAGACUCCUACGGGAGGCAGCAGUGGGGAAUAUUGGACAAAGGGCGAAAGCCUGAUCCAGCCAUGCCGCGUGUGUGAAGAAGGUCUUCGGGUUGUAAAGCACUUUAGUUUGGGAAGAAGGGCAGUAAGUUAAUACCUUGCUGUUUUGACGUUACCAACAGAAUAAGCACCGGCUAACUUCGUG